AUACAUAUAAAUGCAAAGAUAUCGAAGGCAAGUAGAAGUUAUUUCACAAAAACAUUACAAAAUAUCUGCCUGUGGAAAUUUAAUAUAACCACAAAUUUUGCAUACAUGUGCAUAUAUAUAUAUAUAUAUAUAUAUGUACGUGUAUGCAAAAAUGUCAAUUCACUUUAACAAUGAAACCAUGAGUAGUUCCUAUCAGUUCGGAAAUGUUAGAUUCAUUAGUACCAGAAAAAAUCGAUGUGAAAUUAUUCGACGAUUUAAGAGCAGAAAAUUCUUUAUAUCGUUCAUUAUUUGUUAUUACCGACGGUGGCAAAGGUGUGACCAUUUUUAUCGACCAUUCCGAGUGAUUGCGUCCACGUUGUUUCGUGACGAAUGGCGCUUCGAUCGCCGUUGAAUUAAAACGCGCUAGGCUCGAGUUAAGUUUAAACGUUCUUUCAAUGUUUCCGGCAUUACGUUCUGUGUCGUCGUCAGUGGUGAAUCGUUUUGUACCAAUUUUUUCCAUCGUGAAGAAGAGUUGACCAUUGUGUUCUUUAUCAUCGUAACGAUUCUUAUUCCUUAUGUCGGCGGUACGAGAUACUAGACGUCUUCUAGCAUCAUGAUUUUGAAAUCUCACGAUGCCAAGGAGUCCGUACAAUUUGGUGGUGGUUCUCUAUGAAGAUGGUGCAUCUGUUUCUCGUGUAAUUGUGUCAUGGCAAAUCAGGAAUGCACGUUGCACAAGGGAGAAAAAUAAAUGGCGAGACGUUACAGGACGUUCGACUUCCGGCUCGCGUGAUCCAUCACCAUGAGACGCUCUUACUUUCGAGUGUCCCCUUAUUUCUCGUUGCGCUUCGAAUUAAUUGUUUCGAAUUCUUCGUUUCGUUCUAUCGAAAGAUAUUCGAUUAAAUCAAAUCUCGAUAUACUAUAUCAAUUUUUUUCUUUUUUUUUUUUUUUUUUUUUAAUGAAAAUUUAUUUAAUU